GCAGAGAACUUUCCAGAGAUGGAUUGGUGCCUUCGGGAACUCUGACACAGGUGCUGCAUGGCUGUCGUCAGCUCGUGUCGUGAGAUGUUGGGUUAAGUCCCGUAACGAGCGCAACCCUUGUCCUUAGUUACCAGCACGUUAUGGUGGGCACUCUAAGGAGACUGCCGGUGACAAACCGGAGGAAGGCGGGGAUGACGUCAAGUCAUCAUGGCCCUUACGGCCUGGGCUACACACGUGCUACAAUGGUCGGUACAAAGGGUUGCCAAGCCGCGAGGUGGAGCUAAUCCCAUAAAACCGAUCGUAGUCCGGAUCGCAGUCUGCAACUCGACUGCGUGAAGUCGGAAUCGCUAGUAAUCGUGAAUCAGAAUGUCACGGUGAAUACGUUCCCGGGCCUU
rnacentral:rRNA from 1 species